rnacentral:rRNA from 1 species
CCUACGGGUGGCAGCAGUGAGGAAUAUUGGUCAAUGGGCGCGAGCCUGAACCAGCCAAGUAGCGUGAAGGAUGACUGCCCUACGGGUUGUAAACUUCUUUUAUAAAGGAAUAAAGUGAGGCACGUGUGCCUUUUUGUAUGUACUUUAUGAAUAAGGAUCGGCUAACUCCGUGCCAGCAGCCGCGGUAAUACGGAGGAUGCGAGCGUUAUCCGGAUUUAUUGGGUUUAAAGGGUGCGUAGGCGGAUCGUUAAGUCAGUGGUCAAAUUGAGGGGCUCAACCCCUUCCCGCCAUUGAAACUGGCAGUCUUGAGUGGAAGAGAAGUAUGCGGAAUUCGUGGUGUAGCGGUGAAAUGCUUAGAUAUCACGAAGAACUCCGAUUGCGAAGGCAGCUUACUAAACUGCCACUGACAUUGAUGCUCGAAAGUGUGGGUAUCAAACAGGAUUAGAUACCCCGGUAGUC